rnacentral:rRNA from 1 species
UAGGGAAUCUUCCACAAUAGACGCAAGUCUGAUGGAGCAACGCCGCGUGAGUGAAGAAGGGUUUCGGCUCGUAAAGCUCUGUUGUUAAAGAAGAACGUGGGUAAGAGUAACUGUUUACCCAGUGACGGUAUUUAACCAGAAAGCCACGGCUAACUACGUGCCAG